rnacentral:misc_RNA from 1 species
UGGGUUUUAGGCCGAAACUGUAGAUGGCGUUGAUGUGCGUCUAUGAUGAAGAUUACGCGUGGCAAGUUAAAUGGGUGUUUGUUACGUUACCCUGUUUUGUGUUUUAAAGGAAUUUUUGACAAAAAAUUUACGUUAUGUUGUUAUCUAUUCAGUAUUGCAAUCGUUGGGUAUGUCUUGAAAAGGAAAUCCUUGAAAUAGAUUGAUUUUUGUAUGUGUGGUGCUUCGCCUUGUUAGCUAUGCCAGCUACUGAACCAGCAGCCUGCAUUCCUGCUUUCAAUGAACCACAAGGGAUUCUGACACGUUAAGAAGUCCACAUUCCUUACAUGAAGAUCACUAUCCAGUUCAAGUACUGUUAAUGGACCUUGAGCCUUUUGUUUAAGCUUAGUGAUGUGUUCUCUCAUCAUUCAACCACAGAGUCUUCAUCUACUUUGUGUUGCUAAACAUCAGUCCUCACCAUUCCAUGUAUCCAGAUUUUUAAGGUUCUCUGAUUAGCCAACCAUCAUCGAUACACUUCAACUCUUCAUUGUGGUUUCUCUUCCUCUCUUCUUAGUCUGCUGAAUGCCAACAUGGAAUAAGGUUCAUCUUCAUUGCCUUUCCAUGAAAAUUGUCAUUGUUUCCACGUUAUGGAGGAUUGUUGUGUUAUAACAUAAAAUUCUGUGAUAGGACUGCAAAUAUUCAUCUUCCGUCAGUACAAAACUGCUGUUUCGACAAUUUCGUUAGUUUCGCCCCCAGUGGACCACACGCAGCUACAUUUUCUUGGUCUUCUUGUCAUUGUUGUCUACGCCUUCGGCUCAUCGCGAUCUUCAUCAACGUCUUCGCCUCAUCACUGUCUUCGUCGCCGUCUUCGCCCUCAUCUCCAUCUCGUCGACGUCUUGGCCGUCUUUGCCUUUGUUUCAUCGCCGUCUUGGCCGUCUUUAUCUACGCCAUCACCUCGUCGCCUUCGCCCUUUACUUAGAGAAUUCAUCGUUGAUCGUCGCCCUGGUAUUGGUUUUUUUUGUUGCAUUGUAAUGUUUAAGUUAACCCGUUGGCUGCCACCCCGUUUGCGUCCCAUUUUUUUUGUAGCUUUAGGGACCGGCCGCAAUGGCCUUCGCCGUAAGGCGCCUUAGGCAA